GAUGUACGCUAGCUACAGGCUUAACACAUGCAAGUCGAGGGGCAGCAUGGUCUUAGCUUGCUAAGGCCGAUGGCGACCGGCGCACGGGUGAGUAACACGUAUCCAACCUGCCGUCUACUCUUGGACAGCCUUCUGAAAGGAAGAUUAAUACAAGAUGGCAUCAUGAGUUCACAUGUUCACAUGAUUAAAGGUAUUCCGGUAGACGAUGGGGAUGCGUUCCAUUAGAUAGUAGGCGGGGUAACGGCCCACCUAGUCUUCGAUGGAUAGGGGUUCUGAGAGGAAGGUCCCCCACAUUGGAACUGAGACACGGUCCAAACUCCUACGGGAGGCAGCAGUGAGGAAUAUUGGUCAAUGGGCGAGAGCCUGAACCAGCCAAGUAGCGUGAAGGAUGACUGCCCUAUGGGUUGUAAACUUCUUUUAUAAAGGAAUAAAGUCGGGUAUGUAUACCCGUUUGCAUGUACUUUAUGAAUAAGGAUCGGCUAACUCCGUG
rnacentral:rRNA from 1 species